UUUCACUUAAGUGUCCAUGACUGAAGGUUUCUGUGAAAUCAAGACCUUCUUCUUGAUGAAAGCCUUUGGCAACCAGCCUAGCUUUGAGUCUAUCCAAGCUUCCAUCGGGUGCAAGUUUUGUCUUGAACACCCAUUUGCACCCGAUUACAUUCAUGUGAUUAGUGCGAGGAACUAAUUCCCAGGAUCAGGUGACAUUUGUAUGUGGAAUCGACCUUCAGAACUACUUGAAGUGAGCUCAUCAUUCUGUAUUUCUGGAGCUACUUGGUUAAGUCUGGAUAUAUCCAGCUGUACCGAGAAAAAUCAUCCACAAAAAUGACAUAGUAGGAGAAUUUCUGAACAGAUUGAAUUGGUGAAGGUCCCCAUACAUCACAAUGUAUUCUUUCUAAUGGAACUUUAGAAAUAUGGUCUGAGGAAUGAAACGAUAAAGCUGAACUUUUAGCAAUUUGACAACUGCCACAUAUAUUCUGACUUUUGGAACUAAGCCGAAUGAGAUUUUGUUUCUGCAGAAUCUUCAUUGUUUUAAGAUUGGUGUGAGCAAGCCUUUGAUGCCAGAUAUCUUCUGCUACUUCCUGUUGAGUUUGUAUGAAGAAAGCUUCUGCAGCUUUAGGUUUCACCUGAUAGAAGAUUCUUGGUGAUUGCAGGGACUAUCAAUACAUCAUUUAGAGGUAAUUUGCUAUUUCCUGUAUUUAGUAUUCCAUUACCAAUGC